GAUGAACGCUGGCGGCGUGCCUAAUACAUGCAAGUCGAGCGAAUGGAUUGAGAGCUUGCUCUUAUGAAGUUAGCGGCGGACGGGUGAGUAACACGUGGGUAACCUGCCCAUAAGACUGGGAUAACUCCGGGAAACCGGGGCUAAUACCGGAUAACAUUUUGAACCGCAUGGUUCGAAAUUGAAAGGCGGCUUCGGCUGUCACUUAUGGAUGGACCCGCGUCGCGUUAGCUAGUUGGUGAGGUAACGGCUCACCAAGGCAACGAUGCGUAGCCGACCUGGGAGGGUGAUCUGCCACACUGGGACUGAGACACGGCCCAGACUCCUGCGGGAGGCAGCAGUAGGGAAUCUUCCGCAAUGGACGAAAGUCUGACGGAGCAACGCCGCGUGAGUGAUGAAGGCUUUCGGGUCGUAAAACUCUGUUGUUAGGGAAGAACAAGUGCUAGUUGAAUAAGCUGGCACCUUGACGGUACCUAACCAGAAAGCCACGGCUAACUACGUGCCAGCCGCCGCCGUAA
rnacentral:rRNA from 1 species